AUGGGAAUUGGGACCCGGGCCCCAAAUUCCUUACGGGGAGGCAGCCGGUAGGGAAUUUUUCCACAAUGGGAGGCAAGUCUGAUGGAGCAACCCCCGCCUGAGUGAAGAAAGGGUUUCGGCUUCGUAAAACUUCUGUUGUUAAAGAAGGAACAAGUAUGAGAGUAACUGUUCAUGCGUUGACGGUAUUUAACCAGAAAGUCACGGCUAACUACGUGCCAGCAGCCGCGGUAAUACGUAGGUGGCAAGCGUUAUCCGGAUUUAUUGGGCGUAAAGAGAGUGCAGGCGGUUUUUUAAGUCUGAUGUGAAAGCCUUCGGCUUAACCGAAGAAGUGCAUCGGAAACUGGAUAACUUGAGUGCAGAAGAGGGUAGUGGAACUCCAUGUGUAGCGGUGGAAUGCGUAGAUAUAUGGAAGAACACCAGUGGCGAAGGCGGCUACCUGGUCUGCAACUGACGCUGAGACUCGAAAGCAUGGGUAGCGAACAGGAUUAGAUACCCUGGUAGUCCAUGCCGUAAACGAUGAGUGCUAGGUGUUGGAGGGUUUCCGCCCUUCAGUGCUGGAGCUAACGCAUUAAGCACUCCGCCUGGGGAGUACGACCGCAAGGUUGAAACUCAAAGGAAUUGACGGGGGCCCGCACAAGCGGUGGAGCAUGUGGUUUAAUUCGAAGCUACGCGAAGAACCUUACCAGGUCUUGACAUCUUGCGCCAACCUUAGAGAUAGGGCGUUUCCUUCGGGAACGCAAUGACAGGUGGUGCAUGGUCGUCGUCAGCUCGUGUCGUGAGAUGUUGGGUUAAGUCCCGCAACGAGCGCAACCCUUGUUAUUAGUUGCCAGCAUUAAGUUGGGCACUCUAGUGAGACUGCCGGUGACAAACCGGAGGAAGGUGGGGACGACGUCAGAUCAUCAUGCCCCUUAUGACCUGGGCUACACACGUGCUACAAUGGACGGUACAACGAGUCGCGAACUCGCGAGGGCAAGCAAAUCUCUUAAAGCCGUUCUCAGUUCGGACUGCAGGCUGCAACUCGCCUGCACGAAGUCGGAAUCGCUAGUAAUCGCGGAUCAGCAUGCCGCGGUGAAUACGUUCCCGGGCCUUGUACACACCGCCCGUCACACCAUGAGAGUUUGUAACACCCAAAGUCGG
rnacentral:rRNA from 1 species